UCCUGGCUCAGGAUGAACGCUGGCGGCGUGCCUAAUACAUGCAAGUCGAGCGAACGGACGAGAAGCUUGCUUCUCUGAUGUUAGCGGCGGACGGGUGAGUAACACGUGGAUAACCUACCUAUAAGACUGGGAUAACUUCGGGAAACCGGAGCUAAUACCGGAUAAUAUUUUGAACCGCAUGGUUCAAAAGUGAAAGACGGUCUUGCUGUCACUUAUAGAUGGAUCCGCGCUGCAUUAGCUAGUUGGUAAGGUAACGGCUUACCAAGGCAACGAUGCAUAGCCGACCUGAGAGGGUGAUCGGCCACACUGGAACUGAGACACGGUCCAGACUCCUACGGGAGGCAGCAGUAGGGAAUCUUCCGCAAUGGGCGAAAGCCUGACGGAGCAACGCCGCGUGAGUGAUGAAGGUCUUCGGAUCGUAAAACUCUGUUAUUAGGGAAGAACAUAUGUGUAAGUAACUGUGCACAUCUUGACGGUACCUAAUCAGAAAGCCACGGCUAACUACGUGCCAGCAGCCGCGGUAAUACGUAGGUGGCAAGCGUUAUCCGGAAUUAUUGGGCGUAAAGCGCGCGUAGGCGGUUUUUUAAGUCUGAUGUGAAAGCCCACGGCUCAACCGUGGAGGGUCAUUGGAAACUGGAAAACUUGAGUGCAGAAGAGGAAAGUGGAAUUCCAUGUGUAGCGGUGAAAUGCGCAGAGAUAUGGAGGAACACCAGUGGCGAAGGCGACUUUCUGGUCUGUAACUGACGCUGAUGUGCGAAAGCGUGGGGAUCAAACAGGAUUAGAUACCCUGGUAGUCCACGCCGUAAACGAUGAGUGCUA
rnacentral:rRNA from 1 species